AACGUAGGUGACGAGCGUUAUCCGGAUUUACUGGGCGUAAAGCGCGUUCAGGCGGUUUGGCAAGUCGGGCAUGAAAUCUCUCGGCCUAACCGGGAGAGGCUGUCCGAUACUGCCGAGCUUGAGGGCGGUAAAAGGUGGCGGAAUUCCGCAUGUAGUGGUGAAAUGCGUAGAUAUGCGGAGGAACACCAGUGGCGAAGGCGGCCACCUAGGCCGACCCUGACGCUGAAGCGCGAAAGCUAGGGUAGCGAACGGG
rnacentral:rRNA from 1 species